rnacentral:rRNA from 1 species
CAGUCGCCGCGGGAAUACAGAGGGUGCGAGCGUUAAUCGGAUUUACUGGGCGUAAAGCGUGAGUAGGCGGCUAAUUGAGUCGGAUGUGAAAUCCCCGAGCUUAACUUGGGAAUUGCAUUCGAUACUGGUUAGCUAGAGUGUGGGAGAGGAUGGUAGAAUUCCAGGUGUAGCGGUGAAAUGCGUAGAGAUCUGGAGGAAUACAGAUGGCGAAGGCAGCCAUCUGGCCUAACACUGACGCUGAGGUACGAAAGCAUGGGGAGCAAACAGGAUUAGAUACCCCUGUAGUCCCUGUCUCUUAUAU